ACUUGUAACAACCUUGUUGAUAGUAUCAGACUUGUUGCAAGGUUAUUCCAACAAGUCCGAUACAGUCAUGAUAUAACAAUAUUGUUACAACUUUGUGUCAUCAACCUUGUAACAUUCUUGUUAUAUCAUGACUGUAUCAGACUUGUUAGAACAACCGUGUGACAAGUCUGAUAAUGCCAUCAAGCUUGUUACAAGU
rnacentral:miRNA from 1 species